AUUGAACGCUGGCGGCAGGCCUAACACAUGCAAGUCGAGCGGAUGAAGGGAGCUUGCUCCUGGAUUCAGCGGCGGACGGGUGAGUAAUGCCUAGGAAUCUGCCUGGUAGUGGGGGAUAACGUCCGGAAACGGGCGCUAAUACCGCAUACGUCCUGAGGGAGAAAGUGGGGGAUCUUCGGACCUCACGCUAUCAGAUGAGCCUAGGUCGGAUUAGCUAGUUGGUGGGGUAAAGGCCUACCAAGGCGACGAUCCGUAACUGGUCUGAGAGGAUGAUCAGUCACACUGGAACUGAGACACGGUCCAGACUCCUACGGGAGGCAGCAGUGGGGAAUAUUGGACAAUGGGCGAAAGCCUGAUCCAGCCAUGCCGCGUGUGUGAAGAAGGUCUUCGGAUUGCAAAGCACUUUAAGUUGGGAGGAAGGGCAGUAAGUUAAUACCUUGCUGUUCUGACGUUACCAACAGAAUAAGCACCGGCUAACUUCGUG
rnacentral:rRNA from 1 species